rnacentral:rRNA from 1 species
UGUCUGAAUAUGGGGGGACCAUCCUCCAAGGCUAAAUACUCCUGACUGACCGAUAGUGAACCAGUACCGUGAGGGAAAGGCGAAAAGAACCCCGGCGAGGGGAGUGAAAAAGAACCUGAAACCGUGUACGUACAAGCAGUGGGAGCCUCUUUUAUGGGGUGACUGCGUACCUUUUGUAUAAUGGGUCAGCGACUUAUAUUCUGUAGCAAGGUUAACCGAAUAGGGGAGCCGAAGGGAAACCGAGUCUUAACCGGGCGUUAAGUUGCAGGGUAUAGACCCGAAACCCGGUGAUCUAGCCAUGGGCAGGUUGAAGGUUGGGUAACACUAACUGGAGGACCGAACCGACUAAUGUUGAAAAAUUAGCGGAUGACUUGUGGCUGGGGGUGAAAGGCCAAUCAAACCGGGAGAUAGCUGGUUCUCCCCGAAAGCUAUUUAGGUAGCGCCUCGUGAAUUCAUCUCCGGGGGUAGAGCACUGUUUCGGCAAGGGGGUCAUCCCGACUUACCAACCCGAUGCAAACUGCGAAUACCGGAGAAUGUUAUCACGGGAGACACACGGCGGGUGCUAACGUCCGUCGUGAAGAGGGAAACAACCCAGACCGCCAGCUAAGGUCCCAAAGUCAUGGUUAAGUGGGAAACGAUGUGGGAAGGCCCAGACAGCCAGGAUGUUGGCUUAGAAGCAGCCAUCAUUUAAAGAAAGCGUAAUAGCUCACUGGUCGAGUCGGCCUGCGCGGAAGAUGUAACGGGGCUAAACCAUGCACCGAAGCUGCGGCAGCGACACUGUGUGUUGUUGGGUAGGGGAGCGUUCUGUAAGCCUGUGAAGGUGUGCUGUGAGGCAUGCUGGAGGUAUCAGAAGUGCGAAUGCUGACAUAAGUAACGAUAAAGCGGGUGAAAAGCCCGCUCGCCGGAAGACCAAGGGUUCCUGUCCAACGUUAAUCGGGGCAGGGUGAGUCGACCCCUAAGGCGAGGCCGAAAGGCGUAGUCGAUGGGAAACAGGUUAAUAUUCCUGUACUUGGUGUUACUGCGAAGGGGGGACGGAGAAGGCUAUGUUGGCCGGGCGACGGUUGUCCCGGUUUAAGCGUGUAGGCUGGUUUUCCAGGCAAAUCCGGAAAAUCAAGGCUGAGGCGUGAUGACGAGGCACUACGGUGCUGAAGCAACAAAUGCCCUGCUUCCAGGAAAAGCCUCUAAGCAUCAGGUAACAUCAAAUCGUACCCCAAACCGACACAGGUGGUCAGGUAGAGAAUACCAAGGCGCUUGAGAGAACUCGGGUGAAGGAACUAGGCAAAAUGGUGCCGUAACUUCGGGAGAAGGCACGCUGAUAUGUAGGUGAAGUCCCUCGCGGAUGGAGCUGAAAUCAGUCGAAGAUACCAGCUGGCUGCAACUGUUUAUUAAAAACACAGCACUGUGCAAACACGAAAGUGGACGUAUACGGUGUGACGCCUGCCCGGUGCCGGAAGGUUAAUUGAUGGGGUCAGCGCAAGCGAAGCUCUUGAUCGAAGCCCCGGUAAACGGCGGCCGUAACUAUAACGGUCCUAAGGUAGCGAAAUUCCUUGUCGGGUAAGUUCCGACCUGCACGAAUGGCGUAAUGAUGGCCAGGCUGUCUCCACCCGAGACUCAGUGAAAUUGAACUCGCUGUGAAGAUGCAGUGUACCCGCGGCAAGACGGAAAGACCCCGUGAACCUUUACUAUAGCUUGACACUGAACAUUGAGCCUUGAUGUGUAGGAUAGGUGGGAGGCUUUGAAGUGUGGACGCCAGUCUGCAUGGAGCCGACCUUGAAAUACCACCCUUUAAUGUUUGAUGUUCUAACGUGGACCCGUGAUCCGGGUUGCGGACAGUGUCUGGUGGGUAGUUUGACUGGGGCGGUCUCCUCCUAAAGAGUAACGGAGGAGCACGAAGGUUGGCUAAUCCUGGUCGGACAUCAGGAGGUUAGUGCAAUGGCAUAAGCCAGCUUGACUGCGAGCGUGACGGCGCGAGCAGGUGCGAAAGCAGGUCAUAGUGAUCCGGUGGUUCUGAAUGGAAGGGCCAUCGCUCAACGGAUAAAAGGUACUCCGGGGAUAACAGGCUGAUACCGCCCAAGAGUUCAUAUCGACGGCGGUGUUUGGCACCUCGAUGUCGGCUCAUCACAUCCUGGGGCUGAAGUAGGUCCCAAGGGUAUGGCUGUUCGCCAUUUAAAGUGGUACGCGAGCUGGGUUUAGAACGUCGUGAGACAGUUCGGUCCCUAUCUGCCGUGGGCGCUGGAGAACUGAGGGGGGCUGCUCCUAGUACGAGAGGACCGGAGUGGACGCAUCACUGGUGUUCGGGUUGUCAUGCCAAUGGCACUGCCCGGUAGCUAAAUGCGGAAGAGAUAAGUGCUGAAAGCAUCUAAGCACGAAACUUGCCCCGAGAUGAGUUCUCCCUGACCCUUUAAGGGUCCUGAAGGAACGUUGAAGACGACGACGUUGAUAGGCCGGGUGUGUAAGCGCAGCGAUGCGUUGAGCUAACCGGUACUAAUGAACCGUGAGGCUUAACCUUACAACGCCGAAGGUGUUU